UACGGAGGGGGUUAGCGUUGUUCGGAAUGACUGGGCGUAAAGCGCGCGUAGGCGGAUCGGAAAGUCGGGGGUGAAAUCCCGGGGCUCAACCCCGGAACUGCCUUUAAGACUGUUGGUCUGGAGUCCGAGAGAGGUGAGUGGAAUUCCGAGUGUAGAGGUGAAAUUCGUAGAUGUCGGGAGGAACACCAGAGGCGAAGGCGGCCACCUGGGAUAAGACUGACGCUCAUGUACGAAAGCGUGGGGAGCAAACAGG
rnacentral:rRNA from 1 species